GGUUGGAUUACAGGGCAAAUACUCCAUUGGCAGAUAGUUUUCGUUGCAUCUAUAUUAUUGAUUAUCGAUGUAUGAAAAAUUCUUUACUGCCAAAGGAGAUUUGCCCCGCAAUUCAUCC
rfam:Arabidopsis lyrata subsp. lyrata unplaced genomic scaffold ARALYscaffold_1, whole genome shotgun sequence.